CCUACGGGUUGCAGCAGUAGGGAAUCUUCGGCAAUGGACGAAAGUCUGACCGAGCAACGCCGCGUGAGUGAAGAAGGUUUUCGGAUCGUAAAACUCUGUUGUUAGAGAAGAACAAGUAGGAGAGUAACUGCUCUUACCUUGACGGUAUCUAACCAGAAAGCCACGGCUAACUACGUGCCAGCAGCCGCGGUAAUACGUAGGUGGCAAGCGUUGUCCGGAUUUAUUGGGCGUAAAGCGAGCGCAGGCGGUUCCUUAAGUCUGAUGUGAAAGCCCACGGCUCAACCGUGGAGGGUCAUUGGAAACUGGGGGACUUGAGUGCAGAAGAGGAGAGCGGAAUUCCACGUGUAGCGGUGAAAUGCGUAGAGAUGUGGAGGAACACCAGUGGCGAAGGCGGCUUUCUGGUCUGUAACUGACGCUGAGGCGCGAAAGCGUGGGGAGCAAACAGGAUUAGAUACCCGGGUAGUC
rnacentral:rRNA from 1 species